rnacentral:lncRNA from 1 species
UAAUAUUUCAAUUAUUUCAUAUUGAUCUUGAUUGCAGAACUGUGUCCUAGGUAACCAAUAAAUCUCCCUCUUUCUGUCAGUUCCUGUUCAAUUGUUUCAUCCAAAUUCAGUCUGUCUAUGUAAUUAUGAGGAGAGGAAUCCUACUGUGUUUACAGAGGAGGAAAACUGUCAGGUUGUGGGGACAGUAAACCUAAAUACAUGUCUGUGGGACACAUGCAAGAUCAGACCCCUCUCAGGGUGGUUAAAGGUUUGCAACAGGGAUAAGAAAAAAUUCAAAACCUGUCAAAAAUUUUCCACUGCAACAAUAUCCAUGAGCUGGUGGCUCUUUCUCUCCUUGCCUUGUGCAGACAAAGGGAGCCAGUCUAAAUCCAUUCAGAAAGAAAUACUAUGAUGCAAAGGCUUCCCUUAUCCUAAUGGUGAGGUCAGAUUGUACCAGUGUGCUCUGGAACAGCCUUUUCUGUGCUCAAAGGCACUUACAUCUCACCAAGGCUCUCCUUUGGCUAAUAAAGGUUUUCAGCUUUGAGUGUGUUGUUGCUACACUCAUGGAGAGAGACAGAGUGUUCUCAUCAUGUGAUCCUCUUACAAGGAUACAAGAGCUUCAUCAGUUUAAUUUCCAGGUUUUAAUUUCUUGCAUCCUAUUCCUCAGAAGGCCAGGGACUAAAAGGAGUUCCAUCCCUCGUAGCAUGCAUGGAAAAGGGAUUUGUGGCUCCUGGGCUUCUUUUCCAGCUCUCUCCAACUUCAUCAGUGUUACCAUCACUGCUGCUCACCUCAGUGACCCCACCUGGAAACUUACCAUCUUGCUUGGUUCAUCCCUUCCUCUCAAGGCAGCUUUCAAAAGAGAAUAUGUCUGGUUGCAGAAACCAGCAAGGAUUUGGCUGCUGCAGCACAGUUAUUUACACUUCCUUACCAGUUUGCCUGCUACAAUCAGCAUCUCCUGUGGGAGUGAGAAUGAAAGGACUUCAGUGUGUCCCCUGUGUAAGUUUUGACCACCUAAGACAAUUGUAAGGUG